CCUCUAUGCUGUGUAGGGUCCCGGAGUGGCCGGCAGGGGGCGCGCGCCAUCGGGGACUCGAGACGGGCAGUGGGGCUACCGGGAGGUUCGCGCGCAAGACCUGGACCAGGUCUAGGGUUAGGGAGCGAGGAUCUCGAGCGGGGUGGGGAGUGGGGGAAAUCUGUGGACAGCCCACUCGGUCCUGAGCACUGUAUCGGUAGUAGCCCAGCCUUGUGAAGAGCCUUCUGGGGAGGAGAGGAGGCUCCAGCUGAGACCUCAGGGCUGGGGAAACGGGAUGCUUGGUGUGGCAAGGAGAUCGGCAUUCAGAAUAGUCGGGAGCCCUAAGGAGUCCUCCUCGUCGCCCGAACCCCGCAGGGACCCGCUCAGCGAGGAGAAGAGGUGGCAGGUCCUCUCAGAGCCUUCUCGGGCCGGGCACGUGUCGGUGCUUUGCAGGUUUAUCUCGCGGGAUUGCACAUGGCGUCUCCAUUCCACAGGGGAGGCCCGGCAGCUGGGGGCCCUGCGCCGUCCCGGGGCCGGGGUGUGGGGCGGGGCGGCAUACAUUCUCCGCCUCCCUCAUCCUCUUCAGCUCUGCAGAAACGAGGAAGAAAAGCGAUUUCCUAGGCGUGUCGUCCUUUGUAAGAAUGAACCCCAGAGGGCGCCGGUCCGGCCCAGCUGCUUUACAAGUCCGGAGGGCAGAGGGCAAUGGUCCCAGUGGAAAAUGGUGAUAAAUGGACCCAAACAAAAGCCCCAUGCUGAGGACUGAAGAGUUGCCCCAUCAAAUUUUAACCAUUCAACUCAUAAGAUGGGGCCCAGAGGGAGGCAGAGAAAUCCUCACAGGGAAGAUAGUGAUCAUAGAGACCCUGAAGGUGAGUAGAAGCUCAAUGGAGAAAGACAGGGUGGUGUCACAUGCAGAGGAAAUAAUUGCAGGAUAGUUUAUCCAUAUUUUUAUUACUUUCUAUGUUUUCUCUCCUGCUGACUGUUGCUUCAUAUCCAAUCCCUGAUGGCUAUUUUUGGGGAUAUAAGCCUGUGAUAAACUUUAUUUGAGAUUUUUCUAUAUGAUCUAUCAAUAGAAUACAUAUUUUUUCAAAAAAGAUUUUUGUAUUUCAUGUAUAGCAUAUAAAGAUGCUUAAAACUCAAUGUCCAAUCUAUCAUUUCAUUUCCACUUUAUUUUAAUGUUUUAUAUUAGCAAGUCCUUUGCCCAACAGAAAUCUUUUAUAUUUUGAUUUAAUUCUUAACUCUGUUAGGAAUUUAUUUUGAUAGGUAUAUGGGAUAAGAACUUCUUAUCUUUUUGGUUACAAAUUGCAAGUCAUUUUCCUAACGUAAAAUAGCCCAUAUCCCAUUUUUUUUCUAAUGGAUCCUUUAACAUAUACUAAGUUCUUACAUACAUUAAAGUCUACUCUGCUCAUUAUUUUAUUCUAUUAAAAUCUGCUAGAGCAAGGGAAGGGUCUUUAAGUCUGAAGAGCCAGCAUGAAACCUGGAGCAUAGGAGGUACAUAAGACAUAUUUAUUGAAUAAUGUGUUAAUAUGCUUGUUCUUGAUGACAAGACUUCACAAAGAAGGCUCAAAUAAUGGAGCCUGUUCUGUGAUUCUAAGAUAGUAAGUCCAUGGAUAUGUUCUCCUUUGCUCCAGUCCUACAGAAAUGACCCAUCAUGAACAGAAGCAGAUUUACUUUCUCAUUCCUGGGCCAUCUGUCUUUCCUAAAGUGGUUCAUAGAAGGUGAAGGCUGGGAGAUCUCAGCUGAGCUCCUGGCUUAUGCUGGAGGGA
ensembl:lncRNA